CUGAUAAAUGAAUAAGCAAAAUGUGGUGUAUAAACAUAAUGGAAUUUUAUUCAGCCUUAAAAGAGAAGGAAGUUCUGACAUUUGUUACAAUAUGAAUGAACCUUGACAUUAUGCUAUGUGAAAUAAGGCAGCAGUAGAAAACUCAUAUGGUGUGAUUUCCCUUACAUGAGGUACCUAAGGUAUUCAAAUUCAUAAAGACAGAAAGUAGGAGGGUGACGGCCAGGGACUGUGGGGAGGAGGAAAUGGGGAGUUAUUAUUUAAUGAUAUAGAAUUUGAGCUUUGCCAGAUAAAGAGGAAUUCUGCAGGAAAAUGGGGGUGACUGUUAUAUGACAUUAUGAAUGGAUUUAGCAUCAAAUACUACAUUUAAAAAUGUUAAGAUGGUCAAUUUUGUGGUAUGUAUUUUUAAGACAAUAAGACAUUGGGGAAAAAGGGGAUAAUUGGAAGUGAGAAAAGAUGGAAUAAAUUGCACCUAGGAAAUUCUGAUCAACUUACACAUAAGAGAAUUAAGCUACUAUGCAAAACUGAUGAAAGAAGACAUGAGAGUAAAGUAUAGUAUUUAUUAUUUCAAAAUGAAUCAAGGAAAUAAUUGGAAAUCACACCACCAUCAAAUAGUAUGUAGAACAGAAGAGAAAUUUGGCAGUGUGAAUGAGCUACAUUUCAUUUUUCAUAUAAGACCGUUAACCACUUUCUGCUGUGAUAAAUCUUAGCAAAACCAGGAGUCCAAGCAUAUAUGUCUUUUUUUCCUCCAGAGUGUUCAUCAAAUUGAGUUAGGCAACUUUACUUUCACACACCUGUGAUGCCUCAGGAGCCACCUCGACAUACACAUGUCAAGAGAAUUAUUAAUUCUAUAUCUGACGAUGUCUCAAUUCCACUUUCACCAUACAAAGCAGAGAUCAAAGGUGUCACUCACAGAUACUCAUCUAUUCUGCCUUAGCUGUUAAAUAACUGUCCAGUCAUUCAGUGAAGACCCUCUUGUUUCCCAAGUGAUGUACGUGGUUUCAAGUGACUUACAUCUUGAACAGGAUUUAUUAUCAAUCAGUCAAGUAAGUGGAAAAAAAUUUAGUAGAGAGUAUGCUAUUUCAAUGUCCAUCUUUCUUUAGGUACACUAGGAAGUUACCUUAACACACAAGACUCUCAAGCAGUAUUUUCUCCUUCCUAGGUAAUGGUGCUUCUAAGGAAAUAGCGUUCUUUGAAUCCUAUAUAGGAUAAUCCCAGGAUGAUGAUGUAAGAAACACAAAGUGGGACAGAGAAGAAUGCCAUUAUCCACGAGGAAUGCCAUUCUUACCGGGAGGGUCAGAGCUGAAGUUGAUGUCAGAGAUAUAACGAUGCUGGUGGAAACUCUGGGGUACAGCAUGGAUGUGAAAGAAAAUGUCACUGUUUCAGACAUGACUACAGAACUGAAGACAUUUGCUCAUUGCCCAGAGCACAAGACCUUUGACAGUCCCUUCCUGGUGUUCAUGUCUCAUGGUAUUCAGGAAGGAUUUGUGGGAAGAAGUAGUCUGAGCAAGUCCCAGACCUGUUAGAAGUCAAAGAAGUCUUUCAAAUGUUGAAUAUCAGGAACUGUCCAAGUUUGAAGGACAAACCCAAGGUGAUCAUCAUCCAGGCCUGCCGUGGUGGUGAGUGCUGAUGUCUUUGAGAACACCAGACAUUCAAAUACUGACUUCAUCCGUAUGCAUCCAGGAUUUUUCCCUUUCUUUAUGUUUACUGCUUAAUGUGAAAGAACACAUACCAUCAGUACACAAUAAUGUGGCUUCUGUGAAUUGUAUUGCUGGUUGGGAGAUGUUUGUUCUGUAUUUGUAUUAGUCAGGGAUCUCUAGAGGGGCAGAACUAAUAGGAUAAAUAUAUAUUAUAUAUAUAUAGGAUUUUAUGGGAUAAUUAACUCAUGUGAUCACAAAGUGAAGUCCCACAAUAAGUCGUCAGCAAGCUGAGGAGCAAGGAAAUCAGUCCGAGUCCCCAAACUUCAAAAGUAGAGAAGUCAACAGUGCAGCCUUCUGUCCAUGGCCAAAGGCCCAAAAGUCCCUGGCAAGUCUGUGGUGUAACUCCAAGAGACCAAACACCGAAGAACUUGGAGUCUGAUGUUUGAGGGCAGGAAACAUGCAGCAUGGAAGAAAGAUGGAGACUGGAAGACUCAGGAAGUCAAGUCCUUCCAACUCUGCCUCCUUUAUUCUAUCUGUGUUGGCAGCUGAGUAGAUGGUACCCAUCCAGAUUUAAGAUGGGUCUGCCUCUCCCAGUUCACUGACUCAAAUGGUAAUCUCCUUGGGCAGCACCCUCACAGACACACCCAGGAACAAUUGUUUGCAUCCUUCAAUCCAAUCAAGUUGACAUUCAGUACUAACCAUCACAGUAUUUAAAUUUGAGACUCUGAUGUUUGAAUGUUGUUAAAAUUUGAGGAUUAGAAAAGGUAAAAUUUGUUGAAAAGACUGUUACUGGGAUGUAUGUGUUUAGGGGCAUGUGAAUAAAUGAUAGAGUCAACACAUUAAUAAAUACGAUUGCACACAGGUUAAGAGGAGAAUGUGGUUCUCUUGGCAGUUGCUAGUUGCAGAAGACAAAUCUUGUAUUUCCUGAGAACCGUGGGGUUGUGUGGUUAAAAGAUUCAAUAGAAGCCUCUGGAAACACAAGCUGACCGUAUCUAGAAGACUUUCAGGAUGAUGCUAUUAAAAAAGCCCACAAAGAGGAGGAUUUUAUUUCUUUCUGCUCUUUUACACCAGAUAAUGAGUUUCUACACAGGAUAUCUUUUGUUGGGGUUAUCAAUACAGAAACAUACACUCACCCGCUAGAGCACAGAUACUGGUGUUGACUUUAGAUAAGAUUUUUGAAAACCAACUCAAGCUUGGCUCCAAGUUAUAAACUCAAUUCCCUUUAUCCAAGGAGAUUAUAUAUAUAUUCACUGAAUUAGUAAUCACUGAAUUUCUCUGAGGUGCAAAAUAUUUUCCUUAAACUGUGAGCAACCAUAGAGAAUUUGGUGGAAAAUGAUCUAUGCUGGAGUACAUUAGAAUCUGACUCCACAUAGAAAAGGUCUGCAAUGUUGGGAUCAUUCAGCAGUCCAAUUUGCCCAGACUUCAACUAUUUAUUGAAUAGUGGGAGCAGAGGGUAGAGAAGCAGAAAAGCAAAAGAAGCACAUUGGAACCCUACCUUAAAGUGGGUGUUACCUAGACGUAUGAAGUACAUAAAACAUAAUAUAUCUGAAUAAUUCUAAAUUUGAGCUUUGGUGUGAUAACUUUGCUUUUAUAGACUGACACAACCAUCUAGUACUUGGUAAAUUAAUUUCAUUUUUUUAGCUUCUCUGGGCUUUCUUUGAGUUCCUUACUAAUAGAUGUGAAUAUAGAUAUCAUUGUUCUAAGGAUUGAAUGAGUUAAUGUAUGCAAAAUAUUUAGCGUGGUCCAGAGUAAAGAAGGUAUUAAACAACUGCUAUCAUUGAAGAUGUUUCUACUUUGUAACUUAACAUGGUUAACUUCCUUAUCAAGGUUUAAAUAAAAGUCAUUUGAAUCUUUUC